rnacentral:rRNA from 1 species
UACGUAGGGGGCAAGCGUUGUCCGGAUUUAUUGGGCGUAAAGAGCGUGUAGGCGGCCUGAAAGGUCAGCUGUGAAAACUCGAGGCUCAACCUCGAGACGCCGGUGGAAACCGUCUGGCUAGAGUCCGGAAGAGGAGAGUGGAAUUCCUGGUGUAGCGGUGAAAUGCGCAGAUAUCAGGAAGAACACCCGUGGCUAAGGCAGCUCUCUAGUACGGUACUGACGCUGAGACGCGAAAGCGUGGGGAGCGAACAGG